UAGUCCGCGCCCUAAACGAUGCUAACUCGAUAUUUGGAUCUUGAAUCUGAGUGUCUAAGCGAAAGUGAUAAGUAACCCACCUGGGGAGUACGUUCGCAAGAAUGAAACUCAAAGGAAUUGACGGGGGCCCGCACAAGCGGUGGAGUAUGUGGUUUAAUUCGAUGAUACGCGAGGAACCUUACCAGGGCUUAAAUGCAUAUUGACAGGUCUAGAGAUAGAUUUUCCUUCGGGCAAUUUGCAAGGUGCUGCAUGGUUGUCGUCAGCUCGUGCCGUGAGGUGUCAGGUUAAGUCCUAUAACGAGCGCAACCCCUACCGUUAGUUGCCAGCAUGUCAUGAUGGGGACUCUAACGGGACUGCCGGUGCAAACCGUGAGGAAGGUGGGGAUGACGUCAAAUCAUCACGGCCCUUACGUCCUGGGCCACACACGUGCUACAAUGGCAGGUACAGAGAGCAGCCACGUCGCAAGGCGGAGCGAAUCUAUAAAACCUGUCACAGUUCGGAUC
rnacentral:rRNA from 1 species